AUAGUCGGAUCUCCGAUCUAUAUUCAGCGAUCACUCUAUAUUCAAACAUUGUAGGCUCGACAUCAUAAAAUUUAGAAAAAUAUUUCUUUUAUUAUCAAAGAAAGAGAUUACAAAAUUAGACUAGAGUCUGAUUACAUUUUUUAUUAUAAAAAAGUGAAGACAGAAUACACCGACUAAUCUUCAUUGCCUUCCCUUCGCUCCACUGAAGAAUUGAUAAAUCCACC
rnacentral:lncRNA from 1 species